rnacentral:rRNA from 1 species
CCUACGGGUGGCUGCAGUGGGGAAUAUUGGACAAUGGGGGCAACCCUGAUCCAGCCAUGCCGCGUGUGUGAAGAAGGCCCUCGGGUUGUAAAGCACUUUCAGUGAGGAAGAACGCCUGGUGGUUAAUACCCAUCAGGAAAGACAUCACUCACAGAAGAAGCACCGGCUAACUCCGUGCCAGCAGCCGCGGUAAUACGGAGGGUGCGAGCGUUAAUCGGAAUUACUGGGCGUAAAGCGCGCGUAGGUGGCUUGAUAAGCCGGUUGUGAAAGCCCCGGGCUCAACCUGGGAACGGCAUCCGGAACUGUCAAGCUAGAGUGCAGGAGAGGAAGGUAGAAUUCCCGGUGUAGCGGUGAAAUGCGUAGAGAUCGGGAGGAAUACCAGUGGCGAAGGCGGCCUUCUGGACUGACACUGACACUGAGGUGUGAAAGCGUGGGUAGCAAACAGGAUUAGAUACCCCAGUAGUC